rnacentral:rRNA from 1 species
AACGAACGCCGGCGGCAGGCUUAACACAUGCAAGUCGAGCGCCCCGCAAGGGGAGCGGCAGGCGGGUGAGUAACGCGUGGGAAUCUACCCAUCUCUACGGAAUAACGCAUGGAAACGUGUGCUAAUACCGUAUACGUCCUUCGGGAGAAAGAUUUAUCGGAGAUGGACGAGCCCGCGUUGGAUUAGCUAGUUGGUGGGGUAAAGGCCUACCAAGGCGACGAUCCAUAGCUGGUCUGAGAGGAUGAUCAGCCACACUGGGACUGAGACACGGCCCAGACUCCUACGGGAGGCAGCAGAGGGGAAUAUUGGACAAUGGGCGCAAGCCUGAUCCAGCCAUGCCGCGUGAGUGAUGAAGGCCCUAGGGUUGUAAAGCUCUUUCACCGGUGAAGAUAAUGACGGUAACCGGAGAAGAAGCCCCGGCUAACUUCGUGCCAGCAGCCGCCGUAAUAC